rnacentral:rRNA from 1 species
UACGUAGGGGGCAAGCGUUGUCCGGAUUUAUUGGGCGUAAAGAGCGUGUAGGCGGCUUGACAAGUCUGCUGUGAAAACUUGAGGCUCAACCUCAAGCUGUCGGCGGAAACUGUCAGGCUAGAGUCCGGAAGAGGAGAGUGGAAUUCCUGGUGUAGCGGUGAAAUGCGCAGAUAUCAGGAAGAACACCUAUGGCGAAGGCAGCGCUCUGGGACGGUACUGACGCUGAGACGCGAAAGCGUGGGGAGCGAACAGGG